rnacentral:tRNA from 1 species
GCCGGGGUGGUCGAGCCCGGUUCGCGUAGGCUGAAAGGCGGCGGGCUGCAGACCCGCAGUACGUGGGUUCAAAUCCCACCCCCGGCU